GUAACAAAACUUACAUGGAUAAAGAUUGAUGUAACAAUAAGGUAUGUGACAUGUAAAGAACUGAAGCAAGCUUAAUUUCGACGUCGAGGUCGUCAGAUAUAAAGUCUUACUUCUACAACAAAGCAUUUUGAAAACAGAAAGGCAUUUCUAAAAGCUCAAAAACGAUAUAUGACGUAGCUCUUUGACAUGCAGAUAGAAUCAAGAGAAAAAAGAAACCUAUUUUACAUUAGGCAAAUAAUUAAUGUUGUUCAAAAGGAACUUGCUUCGUUUUUCAUCAAACAAUGGAACUUUCAUUACAAAUCAUCUCAUGGAGAAUGGGAUGAUACACCCAAAAGUGGCAAAAAAUUUUGCACUUUAGAAUCAGGAAAAAAAAUAGAC